UAAUAAUUAAAUUGUUUAUAAUAAAAUUAUUUUUUAGGAUUAAUGAAAUAUUAGUAUAACGAUAGAUAAUUUUACUGUGAAGUAUAUAUUUAAAUUAUUUAUGAUAAAGUAAUUAUAUGUACCUUUUGUAUUAGGGUUUAUCAAUAAAAUUAAUAUUUUUUAAUUUCCCGAUAGAUUAUGAGCUAUAAUUAACUUAUAUGAAUGUUGCAUAAUUUGAUAUGAGUUUUUAUAGUAGUGAGAUGCUAGACAUAUAAUUAGGUAUCUGGUUAGAUCAGAAUAAACUUUAUGUUUAGAAAUACACGUAAAACAUUUAAUUGUUUGUAUUUUUUUGAUAUAAAGGGAUAAGCUUUUAUAUAUAUAUUAUAUAUAGUAUAAUAUUAUGGAUAUAAGGUUUAAAAUUUACUAGGUUUUGUUAUAAAGAAAUUUAUGUUAUGAGUAUGUUAUAAAAUAAUUGAUUUAUAAAAUUAUUAUAUAAGUGUAAUAAUGAUUAAAUUAGUAUAAGAUUAUGUGGUUUUAAAAUUUAAAUAUAAAUUAAUAAGUAUUUUAAAUGUUAUGAAUUCGGCUAAUAUUAUUGCUGACUGUUUAACAAAAACAUUUUAUUUUGUGAUAAUAAAAUAUAAAAUCUGCUCAAUGAUUUAAAUUGCUGUAGUAUUUUGACUAUACAAAGGUAGUGAAAUAAGGUUUUAAUUGGAUGCUAAGUGAAGGAUUAAACAGUUAUAAGCUUUAUUACAUUUAUUAAUAGAAGUUAAUUUAAAAAUGAAAAAGUUUUUAUAGAUUAUUGGGACAAGAAGACCCUAUGAAUUUUUAUGUUAUAUGUUUAUAUAAUUUUAUAAUAAAAUUGUUAUUAAAGUUGUAAUAUUUGGUUGGGGUGACCCAUAAAGAUUAAUAAUCUUUAUGAGAUAUAUAUAUGGUUCCAUUAUUAAUGAUUAAUAGUGAAAAAUACUCUAGGGAUAACAGCGUUAUUACUUUGGAUAGUUCAUAUUGAUAAAGUAGUUUGCGACCUCGAUGUUGGAUUAAGAUUACGAUAUGAUGAAGAAGUCAUUUAUUGUAAGUUUGCUCAACUUUUAAUUUCUUACAUGAUCUGAGUUCAGACCGGCGUGAGUCAGGUUGGUUUCUAUCUAAUUAAGAAUUAAUUAUGUUAUAGUACGAAAGGAAUUGACAUUAUAAAAUUUUUUAUAAAUUUUCUAUAAUUU
rnacentral:rRNA from 1 species